AAUGGAGAAGUAUUUUUAUAUAUCAUUAAUAAACUAAUACAUGCGCAAUAUAUCCACAAUUAAUCGGUAAAAAGGAUUAAAGUAUUAACUGUAAAUUUAAGACAGAGAGAAUCCUAUCAUGACUAUGUAAUUGUAUAAGACUUCAAUGUAGUUUCUAAAGAAGAAAAUGAGCGGAAGAGGAAAAGGUGGAAAAAUCAAAGCGAAAGGAAAAAGUAGAUCAUCAAAAGCCGGACUACAAUUUCCUGUCGGUAGAAUUCAUCGUCUUUUAAGAAAAGGGAAUUAUGCUGAACGAGUUGGGGCUGGAGCACCUGUUUAUCUAGCUGCUGUGUUGGAAUAUCUUGCAGCAGAAGUGCUUGAAUUGGCGGGAAAUGCAGCGAGAGACAACAAGAAGAGCAGAAUUAUUCCAAGACAUAUACAACUAGCCAUCAGAAAUGACGAAGAACUUAAUAGACUAUUAGGAUCUGUGACCAUUGCACAGGGAGGAGUUCUACCCAACAUUCAGGCAAUGCUUCUUCCGAAAAAGACGUCGAAGAAAGCUGCUGGAGGAUCGUCACAAUCACAAGAAUUUUAAAUCUAAAUACUGUUUCUGUUCAUAAUAAAAAGUGUAUUUUUCCGUCUGCAAUAAACUAAUGUAAAUUCUCAAGAUCUUCAACAUUGAUAAUUAUCUCAUUUUGAUAAUAAAUUCUUUCUGCAA